rnacentral:sRNA from 1 species
AAGUGAAAAUAUGAAAGGGCUGAUGGAUGAAUGAUGAUUAACUAAUCUAUAUUCUAUUAAAAACGAAUACGUUCGUACUUUAAAAUAUAGGAUUAGUCUAUUCAUUUUUUUAUAAGUCAGUUGAUGCCUUAUUAAAUAUGAGUGUAUGACUAAUCCUUCCAAUUAAAAAUGGGGAGGAUUUUUGA